CAAUAGCGUAUAUUAAAGUUGUUGCGGUUAAAAAAGCUCGUAGUUGGAUUUCUGCUGAGGACGACCGGUCCGCCCUCUGGGUGAGUAUCUGGUUCGGCCUUGGCAUCUUCUUGGAGAAACGUAACUGCACUUGACUGUGUGGUGCGGUAUCCCAGGGACUUUACUUUGAGGAAAAUUAGAGUGUUUCAAGCAGGCGUACGCCUUGAAUACAUUAGCAUGGAAUAAUGAGAUAGGACCUUGGUUCUAUUUUGUUGGUUUCUAGAGCUGAGGUAAUGAUUAAUAGGGAUAGUUGGGGGCAUUCGUAUUUAAUUGUCAGAGGUGAAAUUCUUGGAUUGUUUUAAAAGGACGGACUACUGCGAAAGCAUUUGCCAAGGAUGUUUUUCAUU
rnacentral:rRNA from 1 species